rnacentral:rRNA from 1 species
CCUACGGGGUGCAGCAGUAGGGAAUUUUGCGCAUUGGGCGAAAGCCUGACGCAGCAACGCCGCGUGAACGAGACGCCCUUCGGGUUGUAAAGUUCUGUCAGUGCGGACGACAAAUGCCGGUACCCACAGAGGAAGCACCGGCUAACUACGUGCCAGCCGCCGCGGUAAUCCGGAGGGGGCAAGCGUUGUCCGGAAUCAUUGGGCGUAAAGAGGUCGUAGGCGGCAUGUAAAGUCAGGUGUUAAAGGCGCAGGCUCAACCUGUGUAUGGCACUUGAUACUUGCAAGCUGGAAUGCGGUAGAGGUAAAGGGAAGUCCGGGUGUAGCGGGGAAAUGCUGAGAUAUCAGGAGGAACAGCGGUGGCGGAAGCGCUUUACUGGGCCGUAAUUGACGCUGAGGAACGAAAGCCAGGGUAGCAAAUGGGAUUAGAGACCCCUGUAGUC